CGUUAGCGGCGGACGGGUGAGUAACACGUGGAUAACCUACCUAUAAGACUGGGAUAACUUCGGGAAACCGGAGCUAAUACCGGAUAAUAUAUUUAACCGCAUGGUUCAAUAGCGAAAGACGGUUUUGCUGUCACUUAUAGAUGGAUCCGCGCCGCAUUAGCUAGUUGGUAAGGUAACGGCUUACCAAGGCAACGAUGCGUAGCCGACCUGAGAGGGUGAUCGGCCACACUGGAACUGAGACACGGUCCAG
rnacentral:rRNA from 1 species